AGCCCUGAAGUGAUCCACAUCAAAAUGCAAGUUUGAAAAAGAGCCCUAGANGGGCU
rnacentral:tRNA from 1 species